UGUGUGUGUGUGUGUGUGUGUGCGUGCCUGUGUUUUAAUUCCAAGUCUAGCCACAGGCAGCCCGUGGGGCCUUCCUGACUCACAGGCGACAGCCAGCUCGUCAGGAGCAGUUAGGGUCAGGUGCCUUGCUCAGGGACACCUCGACACUCAGUUAGGAGGAAGUGAGGAUCUUAUCAGCGACCUUCCAGUUAACAGCAUACCCACUCUACCUCCUGAGCCACAUACCGCCCCAUUGGUCAAAAGGAAAGGUGCUUUCCUGUCUGAGAGAACGACUGAUGCAAGUCCAGGCUGCUGUUUCAGAAGCAUCAGAUCUGCUAUCUCAGGUCAGGAGGCGUGGCCUUGGAUUCCUACCCGGCAAGCAGGGUGCGGAGAGCAGCAGGCAGGUGCCCUGUGACUCUGCUUUCCCUCCCAUAAACAUCACGUCAUGCUAGCAUGUCCUGGCAUUCCCCUUGCCUUCCUUAAUUAUAUUUUCCAUACUUCAACAUGUGUUUCAAACCUUUGUCUUCCACUGCCUGAAUGAAUGAAUUAACAAAUGAUUGUUUGGGUUAUAGUCUGCCUGUCUUUCAGUCUGCCUGUCUGUCAUAUCAAUAUGGAAACAAUUCUAACUCCUAUCCAUAUCUAUAUCCAAUAGAUUCAUCAUUGAGCUGCCUUUAUUGGGGUUGAGGGUACAAAACCAACCAACCAACUGACAAGUGUUUUCCAAGGCAACGACCUGCUGGCGCAAUGCCUGCAAAUUUUUGUCUUCGUCAAUUUGAAGCUCAAUCUCAUUUGGAAGGAGGCUCAGUCUGGCCUGUGAUAUUUGUUUCUCUUUGUUGUUGUUUUGUUUAUUUUGUGCACAGACGAUUGUAUACAAAUUAUUCAUGGUUAAAAUAAACUAUUUGGACAUUGUGUUUUAAAGUUGACCAUUAAUUGCUGUUUGUUUCUUUUUGUUCUGACUUAAAAGGUAUCUUAAAGGUAUCUUAAAAGAUAAACGAUUAUUAUUCUUAGGUGACACACACUACUGAAAACGUACUUACAAAUAUUAUAAACCUUUUCUGCCGCUAGAUCCUCCGCACUGGACCUCGUAGUGCAAGUUACUUUAACAAAGAAAAUAUGUUUACUAUUUGGCAGGACGAGUAGAAUGGAAGUC
ensembl:lncRNA